UGAGGAAUAUUGGUCAAUGGGCGAGAGCCUGAACCAGCCAAGUAGCGUGCAGGAUGACGGCCCUAUGGGUUGUAAACUGCUUUUAUAUGGGAAUAAAGUGAGGGACGUGUCCCUUAUUGCAUGUACCAUACGAAUAAGGACCGGCUAAUUCCGUGCCAGCAGCCGCGGUAAUACGGAAGGUCCAGGCGUUAUCCGGCUUUAUUGGGUUUAAAGGGAGCGUAGGCUGUUUGUUAAGCGUGUUGUGAAAUGUAAGAGCUCAACUUUUAGAUUGCAGCGCGAACUGGGAGACUUGAGUGCGCACAACGUAGGCGGAAUUCACGGUGUGGCGGUGAAAUGCGUAGAUAUCAUGACGAACACCGAUUGCGAAGGCAGCUUACGGGAGCGCAACUGACGCUAAAGCUCGAAGGUGCGGGUAUCGAACAGG
rnacentral:rRNA from 1 species